rnacentral:rRNA from 1 species
UGGGGAAUAUUGCGCAAUGGGCGAAAGCCUGACGCAGCAACGCCGCGUGAGGGAUGAAGGUUCUAGGAUUGUAAACCUCUUUGAUCAGGGAAGAAGCCGCAAGGUGACGGUACCUGAAGAACAAGCCCCGGCUAACUACGUGCCAGCAGCCGCGGUAAUACGUAGGGGGCAAGCGUUGUCCGGAAUCAUUGGGCGUAAAGAGCGCGUAGGCGGUCUGACAAGUUUGGUGUGAAAUCUCGAGGCCUAACCUCGAGCGUGCAUCGAAAACUGUCAGACUAGAGUUCGGCAGGGGAAACUGGAAUUCCAAGUGUAGCGGUGAAAUGCGCAGAUAUUUGGAAGAACACCGGUGGCGAAGGCGGGUUUCUGGACCGCAACUGACGCUGAGGCGCGAAAGCUAGGGGAGCAAACAGGAUUAGAUACCCUGGUAGUCCUAGCCGUAAACGAUGGGCACUAGGUGUGGGGAGUUAUCGACGCUCUCCGUGCCGUCGCUAACGCAUUAAGUGCCCCGCCUGGGGAGUACGGCCGCAAGGCUA